AGGCGUUAAUAACGAAUCGAUCGCAAUAACUGCACAGCCACGGUAAAUUACCUAGCCUAUAAAAAUAUUGACUGACAUUGUAUCAAUAUCAUUACCUACAGAAUGAGGUUCUUGGUGCUACUUUCUGUGCUCAUCGGGCUCUUGUGCGCCGCAAUGGGUAAGCUCGACGAUCGUAAAAAAGGUGACUUCACAGCGAAAUAUGCCGAACUAGCUUCUCCACUUCCACUCCAUGUCAACGUCAAUGAAUUGGUUGCUUCUCUUCGAGCAGCCAGCAACUUACAUUACCUAUAGUUAAAGAAAUCAAGUCAUUUUUAUUAACUAUUCAACUUAAAAUAAAGAUUUUAUUACUUCAAAUUAUA